GAAAUCUCGGCUAAGAAAGGACAAGACAAAGUCAACGGGAGUUAGCUCGAAAAUUACGGUGAGCCUUGAUGUGGGUGACUUGGAGCCAGAGGGGAUUCAAAGUGGCCAUUGUGAACACUUUUGGGUUUGGAAAAGAGACUGGUUUUCUUAAGUUAUUUUUAAUUACUAUUUAAAUUUUUGGGUUGUAAUAAGGCCAUUUUAACUUUAUUUUCUUCUUUGAUUUUCUAGGAUUAUAUUAUUUUAAACAACUUUAAA